UACGUAGGGGGCAAGCGUUGUCCGGAAUCAUUGGGCGUAAAGAGCGUGUAGGCGGCUUGGUAAGUCCGCUGUGAAAGUCCAGGGCUCAACCCUGGAAUGCCGGUGGAAACUGUCAAGCUUGAGUCCGGAAGAGGCGAGUGGAAUUCCUGGUGUAGCGGUGAAAUGCGCAGAUAUCAGGAGGAACACCAAUGGCGAAGGCAGCUCGCUGGGACGGUACUGACGCUGAGGCGCGACAGCGUGGGGAGCAAACAGG
rnacentral:rRNA from 1 species